rnacentral:rRNA from 1 species
UACGGGAGGCAGCAGUGGGGAAUAUUGCACAAUGGGCGCAAGCCUGAUGCAGCCAUGCCGCGUGUAUGAAGAAGGCCUUCGGGUUGUAAAGUACUUUCAGUCGUGAGGAAGGUGUUAAGGUUAAUAACCUUAGCAAUUGACGUUAGCGACAGAAGAAGCACCGGCUAACUCCGUGCCAGCAGCCGCGGUAAUACGGAGGGUGCGAGCGUUAAUCGGAAUUACUGGGCGUAAAGGGCACGCAGGCGGUUAAUUAAGUUGGAUGUGAAAUCCCCGGGCUUAACCUGGGAAUGGCAUUCAAGACUGGUUAGCUAGAGUCUUGUAGAGGGGGUAGAAUUCCAUGUGUAGCGGUGAAAUGCGUAGAGAUGUGGAGGAAUACCGGUGGCGAAGGCGGCCCCUGGGACAAAGGACUGACGCUCAUGUGCGAAAGCGUGGGGAGCAAACGAGGAUUAUACC